rnacentral:lncRNA from 1 species
GUUUUAGCUGACGACACUCGAGAGCGCCAAUUUUCCUAGAUUCGAUUUUGUGGUUUGGAACUGUGGUUUUGGAAUCCAGAGUAGUCGCCUCGUUCUAGUAUCCAAUUGCUCCAGCACCAACUGGUGAAAAGACCAUCAUUCUUCUACUCAGUUGCAUUUGAAGCUUUGUCAAAAACCAGACACAAUUGGAGACACAGGUUCUUCUAUCAAGGCCUUGACUGGAAUGGCAUAUUUUCAGAUAUGACCACAUUGCUUUGAGGAAAUGAGGCUGAUGUUGCAGAGCUGAUAAAACCCCCACAGAAAGGCCAGCCUACCUCUGGUGUUGGCCAGAUUGAGAAAUAAAGGGAAAGAGUACGAAAGAGAGAAAUUUUAAAGCUGGGUGUCCGGGGGAGACAUCAUAUGUCAGCAGGUUCCGUGAUGCCCCUCAAGCCACAAAACCAGCAAGUUUUUAUUAGUGAUUUUCAAAGGGGAGGGAGUGUAUGGGUCACAGAGAUCACAUGCUUCACAAGGCAAUAAAAUAUCACAAGGCAAAUGGGGGCAGAGCGAGAUCACAGGACCAGGGCAAAAUUAAAAUUGCUAAUGAAGUUUUGAGCACGCAUUGUCAUUGAUAACAUCUUACCAGGAGACAGGGUUUGAGAGCAGAAAACCGGUCUGACUAAAAUUUACUAGGCAGGAAUUUCCUCAUCCUAAUAGGCCUGGGAGUGCUACGGGAGACCGGGGCUUAUUUCAUCCCUUAUCUGCAACCGUCUAAGACAGACACUCCCAGAGUGGCCAUUUUAGAGACCUACCCCUGGGAAUGCAUUCUCUUUCUCAGGGCUGUUCCUUGCUGAGAAAAAGAAUUCAGCGAUAUUUCUCCUAUUUGCUUUUGUAAGAAGAGAAAUAUGGCUCUGUUCCACCCAGCUCUCAGGCCGUCAGACCUAAUGGUUAUCUCCCUUGUUCCCUGAACAUCACUGUUAUCCUGUUCUUUUUUCAAGGUGCCCAGAUUUCAUAUUGUUUAAACACACAUGCUUUACGAACAAUUUGUGCAGUUAACGCAAUCAUCACAGGGUCCUGAGGCGACAUACAUCCUCAGCUUACAAAAAUGACAGGAUUAAGAGAUAAAAGACAGGCAUAGGAAAUCAUAAGAGUAUUGAUUAGGGAAGUGAUAAAUGUCUAUGAAAUCUUCACAAUUUAUGUUCAGAUAUUGCAGUAAAGACAGGCAUAAGAAAUUAUAAAAGUAUUAAUUUGGGGAACUAAUAAAUGUCCAUGAAAUCUUCACAAUUUAUGUUCUUCUGCCAUGGCUUCAGCCUGUCCCUCCAUUCGGGGUCCCUGACUUCCCGCAACAGGUUAACCUGAUUCCGUACCCAAACCCCAUCACAUCAAGGGUAGCAAUACCUGAAUAUCUAAACUUCUAAAGCAGAGAAAUAAACCUGGAACAUGGUCACUCUACCAAGAAAUUGUUACCAGACCUGUGUGGCUGGACACCUGAUUCUCCCCUGGCAAAUCUUCUAUUUCAUUCGGUCAUCAUCAAUAUUUUUUUCAUUUUCAAUUUUUAACAGUAGGCAGAUAUCUAAGUUUAACUGUCUCAAAGGUUUGAUAUAUGACUUAGGGUUGUAUAUUAUUCAGUGUUUAUUUAAAAGAAUAGAAAAGUCCAAAGACAGGUUCACAAUAAGCAAAAAUACAUACAUACAUAAAUAAGCUUGGAGACUUUUAUAAGAUUAAAAUGAAGUUCUUACAAAUACUUAAAUCAAAAUGCAGCAGGAGUUAUGACAGCAAAAUCUUCAGUCUUAUUUUUAGAGACAGGGUCUCGCUAUGUUGCCCAGACUGGACUUGAACUUCUGGGCUCAUGUGAUCCUCCCACCUCAGCCUCUUGAGUAGCUGGAAUUAUGGAUGCACACCACCAUGCCCAUCUGAAAAUCUGCAGUAUUGACACUGCACUCUAUAAUGCCCUUCCUUAUUGUUCUCUUGACAGUAUCCCCACUGUAUAUUUGUGAAGAUGGCUGAAUGUAUUGAAGUAGAUACUGCUUUUAUAACGUCAAAGCCAUUAUAAUGUCAAAGCCAUAACCAUAAGGUUAUGGGACUGUUAACUGGUGGGUAUCACAACCCUGUUUAUGAGAAAAGCAUUCAGAACUGCAUAGGGGAAGGUGUAGUGAAAUAUUUAUUAUAGGAUAUAUCUUGGAGCUGGCAUAUUCCAAGAUAGGCCAUGGAAUAUGACUCUUUUUUUUGAGAUGGAGUCUUGCCCUGUCACCCAGGCUGGAAUGGAGUGGCAUGAUCUCGGCUCACUGCAACUUCCACCUCCCGGGUUCAAGCACUUUUCUGCCUCAGCCUACAGAGUAGCUGGGAUUACAGGCACCUGCCACCAUGCCUGGCUAAUUUUUGUAUUUUUAGUAGAGACAGGGUUCCACCAUCUUGGCCAGGCUGGUCUUGAACUCCUGACCUCGUGAUCCACCCGCCUCAGCCUCCCAAAGUGUUGGGAUUACAGGUGUGACCCACCACGCCUGGCCAGGAACGUGACUCUUAGUAGUGCUUGUGACCAAAACCUACAGAAGAGAAAAUGCAGUGUAAUAUAGAAGUAACCCUUAGAAUGACUAAUCCAGUUGGAUAAAACUCUUCUCUGUUUCUGUACCUACAAUGUGAGGGGAUGGGAGGUGGGAAAAGUUUGGAAAGUACCUUAUACUGGACCUUUUCUGUAGAACUCUCAAUUUUUGUACUAUUAUCAUUUGCUAAUUUGACAUGAAAUUUAAGCAACCAGCAAUGAGGAAAUACUUAGACUGUAACAGAGCUCUUCAGAGUUCUUUGUUUUGCAACAAUCACCUUUCAAAACUUCCCUAACAACUUGGACAGACAAACCCAGUCGAAUUUACAGAUGCUUGUGGAAAGGUUAGAGAAUUUGAAAGAAAUAAAAAAGAGUUGGGAGUGAAUAUGUGUGUCUUACUGCUUCGGUUUUGUUUCCUAGCAUUUAUUGGUUCAAAUAGAUUUGUUGCUUUGCUGACUCUCUGCUAUCUUCAUAAAAGAUAAGAAAACCUCUCAGCGUCCCUCUAUAGUGUGAGAAACAUGAUUUAUAAUAACAUUAUUUCAUAAUUGAAAGUAUUGUUUCGUUGUCUGGGAAAAUGAGCGCAUCAGAAUUAACUUGUAGUUUUAGAGGCCAGUGGGUUGCUAUAACAACCAGAAAAACAAUGGUGUAAUAACACCUCUCCCUGAAAGCUGGAGAACUCACUAAAUGACGAGAGCUACAGAUGCAAGCGUUUGUCAUAUGAAUUCAAACAAGAACCAAAUACAUUCAUUUAUUUCUUUCAUGAGCACUGACUCCAUGCCUGGCACUAUGCUAGGAACUGGUGAAAUAGACGUGGUCCCUCCUGUGAUGGAGUGAACAAUCUAAUGGAGAAGACCGAUAAUAAACAGUUUAAAAAAAAAGAUAAAUGGAAUAAUUUCAGCAUGUUUAAGGCCCUUUGGUAGAGAAAGCAUUGUUCUCUGAUACUGGACAAGCAGAGAAGGGUUGCUCCAGUAUGGGACAUGGAGAAGCACCUGGUCAUAUCAUAAAUCUUGCCUUUAAGGCUAUAUGAGCUCUAGUAAAGUGAAGGAAAAAAAGAAUGGAGUCUUACAGUCUUUAUUAGUAAAAAUAAUUUAAGGGAAGAAACUGCUAACUGAAGCAUGAUCAUUUUUUACUAGAAGGGUUUAACACGUAAAUUCCCAGAAUUCUUGAAUUAGGAGGAUUCAACAUUAAAAUAAGAGUUAUUUGUGUGUUUUAAAACAGUAUUGUUUUGGGCCAGGCGCGGUGGCUCACACCUAUAAUCCCAACACUUUGGGAGGCCGGGAGGCCAAGGCAAGUGGAUCACCUGAGGUCAAGAGUCCGAGACCAGCCUGGCCAACAUGGUGAAACCCCAUCUCUACUAAAAAUACAAAAAUUAGUCGAGCGUGGUGGCACAUGACUGUAGUCCCAGCUACUCGGGGGGCUGAGGCGGGGCAAUCGCUUUAACCCAGGAGGCAGAGGUUGCAGUGAGCCGAGAUUGCGUCACUGCACUCCAGCCUGGGUGACAGAAAAAAAAAAAAGUAUUGUUUUAUUUCAGCUUUACUCAUAAUAGCCAAAAACUGGAAACAAGCAAAUAAAACCAAAUGUCCUUCAGUGGAUGAAUGAUUAAACAAACUGUGUUAUAUACAUACCAUGGAAUACUCUGGCAAUAAAAAGGAAAUGAACUUUUUUUUAAGAAUAAAAGCUUUAUUGAGAUAUAAUUCACAUACCAUAAAGUUCAUCUUUUUAAAGUUUAAAGUUCAGUUGUUUUUAGAACACUGACAAUACAAACACUACUUAGAUAAUUGUGCAAAAAUCACCAGUAAUUCCAAAACACUGUCAUUACUCCCAAAAGAAUCUCCAUAUCUAUUAGCAUUACCAUAUCUAUUAGCAUUACUCCCCAUUUCCACCUUAUUGUCCAUAUGUUCACGCCCCAGACCUAAGCAAUCCUUAAUCUAUUCUCUGUCUCUAUGGAUUUGCUGAUUCUGAAUCUCUCAUAUAAAUGGAAUCACACAAUAUGUUUCCUUCUGUUUCUGGCUUCUUUAGCUUAAUAUGCUCAAGAGUCAUCUCUGUUAUAGCAUGCAUCAGAACUCUAUUUUUUUAUGGAUAAAUAAGAUUCCAUUGCACUGAUAUUGACCUUUUGCUCAUCUAUUUGUCAGUUGAUGAGCAUUCGGGUUUUUCCUCCUUUUUGUCGGUUAUGAAUAAUGCUGCUAUGAACAUUAGUGUACCAGUUUUUUCUGUACAUAUGUUUCCAGUUCUCUUGGUUAUGUACCUAGGAGUGGAAUUGCUGAGUCAUAUGGUAUCUCUGUUAACUUUCUGAGGAACAGAAAACUGUUUUCCAAAGCCAUUGUACCAUUUUACACUCCUACCAGCAGGUAUGAGGAUUUCAGUUUUUCCACAUCCUUGCCAUCCUUGCUUUUGUCUUUUUUUGAAUUUUCAUGUCAAAGGGGUAAUGUUCCAAUGAGGUCAUAACAAGGCUUGGGGAAGGCACAUUUCACACAUGCACGUGAAACCCCAGUCAUCACGCUUAUAAACUACAAAAGGAUCUGCUUUUGCUUUUUAUUAUAGCCAUCCAAGUAGGUGUAAAGUGGUAUUUCCUUGUGGUUUCAUUUGUAUUUCCCUAAUGUGUUGAGUAUCUUUUCAUGUGCUUGUUGGUCAUUUGUCUAUCUUGUUUGAAGCAAUGUCUGUUCAAAUCUUUUCUCAAUUUUUCAGUUGGGUUAUUUGUCUUUUUAUUGUUGAAUUGUAUCAGUUCUUUACAUAUUCUAGACACAUGUCCCUUAUCAGAUAUAUGAUUUGCAAAUAUUUUCUCCCGGUGUGUGAGUUGUUUUUUUACUUUUUUUUCACUCACAUUAUGUAUGUUGAUGUUAUGAUUUGAAGCACAAAAGUUUCAUUUUGGUUAAGUCUAAUUUCUUUUGUUGAACUACUGAUUGUUUUUUAAGAAAUAAAUGCCCUGUACAUCAAGCUGUAUACAGAGUGUACUCUGAAAUAGGUCGAAUUAAAAGAAGUCCUGAUUAUGGAGAUUUUCAGUGAGCUGUUAGGUCAACUCGUGGUUAAUUCUCUGGGAAUGAGCCUUUUUGGGCUUCAAAUCUGUUCUUUUCUCUCCAGUGGCUGCUAAGCUCUACUUUCCACAACUACUAUAAAUGUGAAGCUAUUGAGUUUCAAGGCUUCCAUGGAACUGGGGAGAGGUGUAUAGGAUUAGAGCAAGUUAAAACACUAUAGGCUUUCCGUUCUUACUGAGAUUCAGCUGUUUUUCUUAGGUAAACAUUCCUUGGAAUGUGGCAAGCUUUUGUUAAUUUCCACAAUUCUAAUAAGUUUAUGUCAACAGCUUUUGCUAAUGUCCUCAUUGCUUUUAUGGAGGAGCAGAUUCUCGGUGUGACAUUACUGUACCAUUUGGAAUGUCUACUGAUAUACACGAUAACUUGGAUAAAUCUCAAGAGAAUUAUGCUGAGUGAAAACAUGAUCUCAAAAGAUUAAAUACAGUAUGAUUCCAUUUAUAUAACUUUUUUUUCUUUGAGAUAGGGUCUUGCUCUGUCGCCCAGGCUGCAGUGCAGCAGCACAGUCAUAGCUCACUGUAACCUCAAACUCCUGGGCUCAAGUGAUCCUUCUGUCUCGACCUCCCGAGUAGCUAGAAUUACAGCCACCACACCUGGCUAAUUAAAAAAUUUUUUUGUAGAGAUGUGGUCUUGCUAUGUUGCCCAGGCUGGUUUGAAACUCCUGACCACACAUGAUCCUGCUGCCUCAACCUUCCAAAGCACUGGGAUUACAGGCAUAAGUCACCAUGCCCACCCUAUAUAACAAAUUUAAAAUGACAAAAUUACAGAGAUGAAUUACAGAUUAGGGGUUGACUAGGGAGAUGAGGAGGGAAAAGCCUGUGGCUAUAAAAGCAAGGCACUGGCUGGGCACAGUGGCUCACGCCUAUAAUCCCAGCACUUUGGGAGGCCAAGGUGGGCGGAUCACCUGAGGUCGGAAGUUCGAGACCAGCCUGACCAACACGGAGAAACUCUGUCUCUACUGAAAAUACAAAAUUAGCUGGGCGUGGUGGAGCAUGCCUGUGAUCCCAGCUACUUGGGAGGCUGAGGCAAGGAGAAUCACUUGAACCUGGGAGGUGGAGGUUGUGGUGAGCCGAGAUCGCCCCAUUGCACUCCAGCCUGGGCAACAAGAGCAAAACUCUGUCUUAAAAAAAAAAAAAAAAAAAAAAAAAAAAGCAUGGCACAAAGGAUAUUUGUAAUAGAACUAUUUUAUAUCUUGACUGUGUUGAUGUUCUCAUGAAUCUACAUGUUAAUAAACUUCAUAGAUUUAAAUAUACACACACCAAACGCAUGCAUGUAAAAGUGGUAAAAUGUGAAUUUUAAUGAUUUGUAUCAAUGUCAUUUUCUUGGUUGUGAUAUUUUACUAUAGUUGUGCAAAGUGUUACCAUUGGGAAAAACAAGUGAAGGAUAUACAGGAUCUCUCUGUAUUAUUUCUCACAACUGCAUGUGAAUUUACAAUAAUCUCAAAUUUUUGUUUGUAAAACAAAAAGGAGUAUCAUAGCUCAUAAUAGAAAUUAUAUAAGGAAAAUUAUAUUACAUAAUUGAGAGAAGCAAUUCAAAAUAUUCUCUGGCAGCUGUUUUGAGGUUUUUAUAAACACAAAAUGAUACUGUAAAUAUAUAUUGAAUAUAUUAAUACUAGGAUUCCCUGAUUAAGAUAGCACAAGAACUGAGUGAGCAACUAAGUUCUGAAUAGAUGAUUAUGGCUAAUGAGGUGGGCUUCAAUAGAAGGGCAGAUAAGUACAUUACUCCAUAUACCACUGCAAAAAUGAUUCAGGCACAGAAAAUGCUCUGUAGCCUAACUUUUGUGAGGUACCCCUUCCUAAAACAUUCAUAUAUGUGAUUCAUUUAAAAUAGAAUUGCAGAAUCAUAGGUGUUUCAACAAGUAUAGGCAUGAAUGAUUCUGUAAUAAGCUAAACAAGACAAAGCUCCACCAAGAUGCUUGGAACAUGCUAGAACUGAGUUAAAACUGAAUAUGGUAUAUUUCUUAUCCCUCAUAUAACUAAAAAACAUUCAUAAAUAUAUAUAUGUAUAUAUACAUAUAUAUAUAUUUUUUAGAGACAGGGUCUCACUCUGUCACUCAGGCGGGAAUGCAAUGGCGUGAUCAUAGCUCAUUGCAGCCUCAAACUCAUGGGCUCAAGUGAUCAUCUCUCCUCAGCCUCCCAAGUAGCUAGGACAACAGGCAUGCACAACCACACCUAAUUUUUUUUUUUUAAUUUUUAUUUUGUAGAGGCAGGGUCUCACUAUGUUGCUGAGGCUUAUCGUGAAUGCCUGGCCUCAAGCAAUCCUGCCUAGGCCUCCCAAAGUGCUGGGAUUACAGGCAUAAGCCACCAUGCUCAGCCUAAAAAUGGCAUAUUCUGGUGUCUAAUAUCUAAUCUGAAGAAAUUUCAAGGUACCACUCAUAAAAUGUGUCCCCAGCAUCCUAUUAUUCCAAAGACUUCAACUUAAUUUUGUCAUAUUUACUUUCAAGGCAAAAUGGAACCCUUCUAUGUUGAUAAAAUGUUUUAUAUAUGGUAAGAUUUGAGGACUUUACAUAUUUAGAGGAAUUCUUGUUUUAGAUAUAUUAUUAGUAUGUCUUCAUCAAAAAGAUGUGAAAUCCGUUAAAGCCCCACCUCCACAGAUCUCAUUUUAAACACUAGGGUAUGCCUCCCCUUUCUCCAAAUCUUCUAGGUUUCCUGACAAGUUGUACAGUUGGCUGAUUCUAGUUUUCUGUCAUUUCUCCCUUCUUUUUUUUUUUUGGAGAUGGAGUCUCACUCUAUCGCCCAGGCUGGAGUGCAGUGGCGUGAUCUUGGCUCACUGCAACCUCCUCCUCCCCGGUUCAAGCAAUUCUCCUGUCUCAGCCUCCCGAGUAGCAAGGACUACAGGCGCACACCACCACACCCGGCUAAUUUUUUGUAUUUUAGUGGAGAUGGGGUUUCAUUGUGUUGCCCAGGCUGGUCUCGAACUCCUGACCCCAGGCAAUCCACCCACCUUGGCCUCCCAACAUUUCUCCCUUCUUUAACAUUAACAAACAGAGCUGACAUGAGAAAAAGACACAAAGUUCUUAGAACAUUGUGAACUGGAUACACAGCUAUUAAGAGUCCUUGGUAUUUCAGAUAUCUCAAGCAUUAUUAUCAGCAUGGUAACUUUAAGGUUGAUUCCAGGUAUAAUUAAAUAUCUCAUGAUAGUAAACGCACAAAGGCUUUUGAAAAGUUUAGAUUGCAUUUUGAAAUAAAUAUGAUGUGAUAUCUUUAAAUUUUUACUGUAAUACUGUGCAAAUUGUUUAGAUUUAGAAAUGAUUUUAUUGCUCCUUAAGCAUUCAUUCAAUUCUUAUUCAGGGAAUACACAGAACAUAGGUAGUAUUUGGGAAGGUACAUCUUAUUAUUACCUUGAUAUAAUUAUAUCAUAA